UACGUAGGGUGCAAGCGUUGUCCGGAAUUAUUGGGCGUAAAGAGCUCGUAGGCGGUUUGCCGCGUCUGCUGUGAAAACCCGAGGCUCAACCUCGGGCCUGCAGUGGGUACGGGGCAGACUAGAGUGCGGUAGGGGAGAUUGGAAUUCCUGGUGUAGCGGUGGAAUGCGCAGAUAUCAGGAGGAACACCAAUGGCGAAGGCAGAUCUCUGGGCCGUAACUGACGCUGAGGAGCGAAAAGCAUGGGGGAGCGAACAGG
rnacentral:rRNA from 1 species